CGGGGUGCAGCAGGCGCGAAAACUUUGCAAUACACGAAAGUGUGACAGGGUCAUCCCGAGUGCCGACCGCUGAGGUUGGCUUUUACCCAGUCUAGAAAGCUGGGGGAAUAAGGAGAGGGCAAGUCUGGUGUCAGCCGCCGCGGUAAUACCAGCUCUCCGAGUGGUGUGGACGUUUAUUGGGCCUAAAGCAUCCGUAGCUGGCUGAACAAGUCCCCUGUUAAACCCACCGAUUUAAUCGUUGGUCUGCGGGGGAUACUGCUCGGCUAGGGGACGAGAGAGGCAGACGGUAUUCCCGGGGUAGGGGUGAAAUCCUAUAAUCCCGAGAAGACCACCAGUGGCGAAGGCUGUCUGCUAGAACGCGCCCGACGGUGAGGGAUGAAAGCUGGGGGAGCGAACCGGAUUAGAUACCCGGGUAGUCCCAGCUGUAAACGAUGCAGACUAGGUGUUUGGACGGCCACGUGCCGUUCUAGUGCCGCAGGGAAGCUGUUAAGUCUGCCGCCUGGGGAGUACGAUCGCAAGAUUGAAACUUAAAGGAAUUGGCGGGGGAGCACAA
rnacentral:rRNA from 1 species